rnacentral:rRNA from 1 species
GAUUGCCUACGGGAGGUAGCAGUGGGGAAUAUUGCACAAUGGGCGCAAGCCUGAUGCAGCGACGCCGCGUACGGGAUGGAGGCCUUCGGGUUGUAAACCGCUUUUGUUCAAGGGCAAGGCACGGUCUUUGGCCGUGUUGAGUGGAUUGUUCGAAUAAGCACCGGCUAACUACGUGCCAGCAGCCGCGGUAAUACGUAGGGUGCAAGCGUUAUCCGGAUUUAUUGGGCGUAAAGGGCUCGUAGGCGGUUCGUCGCGUCCGGUGUGAAAGUCCAUCGUUUAAAGGUGGAUCUGGGAGUGGGACGAAG